AGCGGCGGAUGGGUGAGUAACACGUGGGGAACCUGCCCCCAAGUCUGGGAUACCAUUUGGAAACAGGUGCUAAUACCGGAUAAUAAAGCAGAUCGCAUGAUCAGCUUUUGAAAGGCGGCGUAAGCUGUCGCUAAGGGAUGGCCCCGCGGUGCAUUAGCUAGUUGGUAAGGUAACGGCUUACCAAGGCGACGAUGCAUAGCCGAGUUGAGAGACUGAUCGGCCACAUUGGGACUGAGACACGGCCCAAACUCCUACGGGAGGCAGCAGUAGGGAAUCUUCCACAAUGGACGCAAGUCUGAUGGAGCAACGCCGCGAGAGUGAAGAAGGUUUUCGGAUCGUAAAGCUCUGUUGUUGGUGAAGAAGGAUAGAGGUAGUAACUGGCCUUUAUUUGACGGUAAUCAACCAGAAAGUCACGGCUAACUACGUGCCAGCAGCCGCGGUAAUACGUAGGUGGCAAGCGUUGUCCGGAUUUAUUGGGCGUAAAGCGAGCGCAGGCGGAAAAAUAAGUCUAAUGUGAAAGCCCUCGGCUUAACCGAGGAACUGCAUCGGAAACUGUUUUUCUUGAGUGCAGAAGAGGAGAGUGGAACUCCAUGUGUAGCGGUGGAAUGCGUAGAUAUAUGGAAGAACACCAGUGGCGAAAGGCGGCUCUCUGGUCUGCAACUGACGCUGAGGCUCGAAAGCAUGGGUAGCGAACAGGAUUAGAUACCCUGGGUAGUCCAUGCCGUAAACGAUGAGUGCUAAGUGU
rnacentral:rRNA from 1 species